rnacentral:rRNA from 1 species
CCUACGGGAGGCAGCAGUAGGGAAUAUUGCUCAAUGGGGGAAACCCUGAAGCAGCAACGCCGCGUGGAGGAUGAAGGUUUUAGGAUUGUAAACUCCUUUUGUUAGAGAAGAUUAUGACGGUAUCUAACGAAUAAGCACCGGCUAACUCCGUGCCAGCAGCCGCGGUAAUACGGAGGGUGCAAGCGUUACUCGGAAUCACUGGGCGUAAAGAGUGCGUAGGCGGGGUAAUAAGUCAGAUGUGAAAUCCUGUGGCUUAACUACAGAACUGCAUUUGAAACUGUUACUUUGGAGUGUGGGAGAGGUAGGUGGAAUUCUUGGUGUAGGGGUAAAAUCCGUAGAGAUCAAGAGGUAUACUCAUUGCGAAGGCGACCUGCUGGAACAUUACUGACGCUGAUGCACGAAAGCGUGGGGAGCAAACAGGAUUAGAUACCCUUGUAGUC